AAACAAACCCCAUUCCACACGAUCACCUUAGGCUGACACGCCAUCUCUGGACGUAAACAUCUUGUCUGCCACAGGAACCUUUCUCCAUGCGCCCUUUUAUCACCUACAUAACCCGACCGAUCAAUUAAAACUCUCACACUUAAACCAGUCAAAAGCAUCACCUUCUUUUCCAUCUCCAUCAAUUUAGUUAUAAACUCCAGAUUCUUUGAUUUUGCAACAACUUUUUGUUCUGAGUUUUCUUGAAAGAUUAGUGUUUAAUGGAGUGGAAUAGCUGUGGUAGUGGGUUUAGAGAGUUGAGGCCUUUGGUGCACUUGCUUUUGCCAUUAUCUAUACAUUGGGUUGCUGAGCAAAUGACUGUUUCUGUUCUUGUUGAUGUUGUUACUUCUGCCUUAUGUCCUGGGGAGUCUGCGUGUUCUCAGGCUAUUUAUCUAAGUGGUCUCCAACAAACGGUGGUUGGAAUUUUCAAGAUGGUGGUAUUACCACUCCUGGGACAGCUUGCAGAUGAGUAUGGGCGUAAACCAUUUCUACUUCUCACUGUAUCUACAUCCAUAUUUCCUUUUGCUUUACUUGCCUAUAAUCAAUCAAGAGAAUUUGUGUAUGCCUACUAUGUGCUUCGUACAAUUUCAUAUAUUCUAAGUCAAGGAAGCAUUUUCUGCAUUGCUGUUGCCUAUGCGGCAGAUUUUGCCAAAGAAAGCAGGAGGGCUGCAGUAUUUAGUUGGAUGACUGGUCUCUUUUCUGCUUCUCACGUCAUAGGAAAUGUUUUAGCACGUUUUCUUCCUGAGAAAUACAUUUUUCUGGUUUCAGUUGCUCUCUUGAUCUGUUGUCCACUUUAUAUGCAAUUCUAUCUAGUUGAAUCAGUUGAACGUACUCAAAGGAGGGAGCAAAAAUCAGCCUUCUUAACUAAGACCAUUAAGGUUUUCCAUGCAAGAUAUAAAUCAAUGAUAGAUGCUGCAACAGUGGUCUUUAGCAGCCCCACUCUUAGGGGAAUUUCUUUUGUUUCCUUCUUCUACGAGUUGGGAAUGUCCGGCAUCAGCAGUGUCUUAUUUGUAAGUUUGUUUUCAACUUUAUUCUUUUUAUGCCCAAUCUGACAAUCCUUAUGCAUCAUGAGCAAACCAUUAAUGCAGAAAGUCCUUUGAAAUCCAGUCUUAAAGUCAGUUUUUGCCCUUCUGCAUGGAGAAAAUAGAAUCUUUUUUUUUUUUUACUGUCCAUCUUCUACAAAAAAGAUUCAUGAUGCUUAGUUCUUUUGUUGAUGCUUCGUGUGUAAGGGAAAAAAAAUCUAUAAAAUAAGGUGUUGUUAAGGAAAAUAUGGGCUUCAGAGUUUCAGAGUUAUAGGAUCUUAUUGUAUACCUAUUUGGCAUUUAAAUUCUAUUGGAACACAAAAAAGAAUGAAACAAAAGGUAAUUGUGUAAUUCAAUCUCUACCAAAUCAAUUGCACGAGUACUGUUCAGGCUUGCUUGCCUUUUAUUCUAUAGAUAAUGAAUUUGCCUAUUCCCACAACCACAAUGGAGGAAGGCUUUUUGUGGAGGAGGAAAUUGAUCUCUUAAGGAUGGAGAAACUAAUUGUUAAGACAGCUUUACCCUAUUUGAAUCAUCCUAGGAAAAAAAAGGAAUGGGAAUGGAAAUGACAGUUUUGCAGGCCUUUUAUUCCAAGAUUUCCAUUCAAAUUUAUUUUUGUGAUAGUUAAACAUAUCAUAAUGGCAAUUUAAUUAUUAUUAUUUUGGAAAUUAUACUUACAUUUCUUAUGUACUAAGAUUAGUUUGUCGAACACCAAAUAUCAUCCAAAAAAUUGGAAUUCUUUGUCUAACAAACUAUUAUAAUAGAAUCCUAUCUCAAAUCCAUUUUCCAGCCGAAUCAAGCCAGAGUUCUGCUAAUACUAUACUCCAUGGGAGGUAAUAUUACUUUGUCAUUUUAAUUUUCCUUGUGUUUUUACAGUUCAAGCAAUUAGUAUAAUGCAUUGACACUAUUCAUUUUUAACAAAACAUGAACCUAAGGGUGUACCUUAAUAUAAUAGCACUCAUUGAAUCAAUGGUCACGGUGCUAAUUGUAAAUAUUUGUGUUUUCUGGUGCAGUUUUUAUUUUAUUGUAGUUUUUCUUUGCUUGAGUAAAAAUUUUCUGACUUAGGAUUGUGUGUGCAGUUCUAUCUCAAGUCAGUGUUUGGGUUUAACAAAAAUCAAUAUUCAGAAAUUCUGUUAAUGGUGGGAAUUGGUGAAAUUUUUUCUCAGAUUGUGGUGCUUCCUCUUAUCAAUCCAUUGGUUGGUGAGAAAGUGAUAUUGUGUCUAUCCUUACUUGCAUCAAUAGCUUAUGCACUCCUAUAUGGAUUAGCAUGGUCAUCUUGGGUACGUACUUAAACAGCCCUAUUUCCAGAUAGUAAAGUUCUUAUGGUGUUUUCAAGAAAAAGCUUAAAUUAGAAUUCCUAUAAGAUGUACUUGACCAAUUCUUUACUCAUUAAUUUUACAUGUUGCAUGAGAUAAGGACUCUAGUUUCUUUACUGGAAUAUGUUUUGUACAUUUCAUAUUGCUAAUUGCAGGUGCCAUACUUGAGUGCCUCAUUUGGAGCCAUUUAUAUCCUUGUAACCCCUUCAGUAAGUAUCAUAGAUUCACUAAUUCUCUCUCCUUUUAUUUCCAUGUAGUGUAAAAUUGUAGUUGAUCGUCGACUUUUUAAAACUUGAAUGAUCACUGCUUGAUGUUCUGAAUUUCUUCAUGUGCAGACUUAUGCUAUUAUUUCCAAAGCCUCAAGCUCAACUAAUCAGGUUUAUAACUCUUCUUUCUUUUGGAUAAUCACAUUUCUAUGAACUCCUGUGCAAUUUUUCAUUCAUGCAAGAAAUCCUGUUUAAAACUUGAAAUGUGAACUUCAGAUUUUGUUCAGUCGAAUCAUUAACACAAUUUGCUACCAGAAUAAGCCUGCAUAUUUAACUUCUACUUGGUGGAACCAAUUACUUUAAGUUCACAUACAAUUUGUCCAAUGCUAACCAUUUAAUAAUUUUAUAGAAAGCAUUAAGUGAAUAUAGCUUAAACUUGCUACACAAGGAAAAGAGGAUUUUGAUCAAAUUAAAAUUUUCAUGUUAUCUUAAUCCUAGACUCAAGGUAGGGUUAGCAGCAUUCCCUGCUUGGCAUCUUCUUAUAAAUAUUUACGUUUGUGUAUGAUUUAUCUCAAAUUCAGGGUAAAGCACAAGGAUUCAUUGCAGGUGUGCAGUCAGUAGCAAGUUUGUUAUCCCCUCUUGCAAUGAGUCCAUUAACUUCAUUAUUCCUGUCUAGCAAUGCCCCUUUCAACUGCAAAGGUUUCAGCAUCAUAGUUGCAUCUUUAUGCAUGGUAAGCCAUUACAUAUCUCUCUCUGGUGCACGCGCACUUUCCCUCUCUUUUCUCAUUGAAUGAAUUAAUGAUAAGAGUAAUCCUGAAUUGUUUAAUUUUGUCAGAUAGUUGCUUUAUGCUAUGCUUGCCUGCUUAAACCAGAGCAACAAUUACCUAGGAAAUCAGAAGAAGAUAUUGAAGCACCACUCUUAUCUGACAAUCAACUGGCUACCUAACAUUUUAAUUUCCAAGGAAAAUUAUGUAAAUAUCUAUAUCUAGCAUCACUUUAGUCGUAUAAUUGACGCAUUUUGUUGUGUAAAUAUUGUUUUUCCUAUGCAAUUUUCCCUCCAAAGUCCUGCAAAUGAACAUUGCAAAUCAGCAUACAUUUCCUUUCAUUAACAAAAGUCUCAGAGAAUA
rnacentral:misc_RNA from 1 species